rnacentral:rRNA from 1 species
UGAAUUGACGGGGAGCACCACAACGGGUGGAGCUUGCGGUUUAAUUGGAUUCAACGCCGGAAUCUUACCGGGACCGACAGCAAUAUGAAGGCCAGGCUGAAGACUUUGCCGGAUUAGCUGAGAGGUGGUGCAUGGCCGUCGUCAGUUCGUACUGUGAAGCAUCCUGUUAAGUCAGGCAACGAGCGAGACCCACGCCCACAGUUGCCAGCGUACUCUCCGGAGUGACGGGUACACUGUGGGACCGCCACUGCUAAAGCGGAGGAAGGAAUGGGCAACGGUAGGUCAGUAUGCCCCGAAUAUCCCGGGCUACACGCGAGCUACAAUGGUUGGUACAAUGGGUAUCUACCCCGAAAGGGGACGGGAAUCUCCUAAAACCAAUCUUAGUUCGGAUUGAGGGCUGCAACUCGCCCUCAUGAAGCUGGAAUCCGUAGUAAUCGCGUUUCAACAGAACGCGGUGAAUACGUCCCUGCUCCUU